GCACCGGGUGUUAUCAUCAGCUAUCCGUUCUGCAACUAAAACGAGAGUUUCUAUUGGACCGAUUUAGGUAGUCCCUCCCGUUUUAGUCCCCCCUGAAAAUAUUCUGCUGUGCAGAUGAAAAGAGGUUUGGGCAGCUGUGGUUUUCUGCUGACGCGUCUACGGCCGGGAACGAUAACAACAAGAAAAAUAAAAUUAACUGGAUUCUAAAGCUGUUCAGGUGAUCGUAAUGGCGGAGGGAGGCUUUGACCCCUGUGUGUGCAUCUGCUCCCAGGAGCAUACCAUGAGACGACUCAUCAACCUGCUGCGCCAGUCUCAGUCGUACUGUACAGACACAGAGUGA